AACGAAAAGGAAUGAGCCCAGCGCAGAACGUUCCGGGGCACUCGCCCUGAGAAUGAAUGUUGCGUUAAGGAUAUUGGCAUACACCCAUGGCAGUUACACUUUGCUAAGUCAGCCUCGAAUGGUUCUCGUGAAGCCGGUAACACGGUGAGACUCCAGGGAGGGUGUUAGACCCGUGUGAAGGUGCAAUCUGCUUGGGCAAGCCGAUAUCCCGAGAGUCGCGUUGUUUGAACAUGCAGCGCUAAGCAGGUCGUAGACUCGAUCUAAGGCUAAAUAUGUCCACAGAACCGAUAGUUAACAAGUACCGUGAGGGAAAGUUGAAAAGCACUCCGUAACGGAGAGUCAAAAGACCGUGAAACCACUCAGAGUAUAAGCCAAUGGUGUCUGGAAGGUCCUGUGCUUACAUCUUGGUGUCAAGGACUCAUGCGAACCUCAGCACUUGCGGGAGCAAUCUCCGUUGCUUUGGUAAGCUUGUCCGCUGAAGCACUCCGUUGACCCACCUGGCUCGUUGUGAGGUGUCCUGAGAGCAAAGCGAAGUGUUAAGAUUGGCUUGGAGUUGGGCGUGGGCGUCUCGAUGCCUUUCGCACUCUCCUUUUCGAGCACUUCUUCAGUUCUAUUCGCACAAAGUGUGGUAGUCUUGGAGUGUGCGCUGCUUGACGCUCUCUGGAACCAUCCUCUGCGACGAAGCUUCAAUGCCUUAGUGAGCGGCCGUCUUCCUCCUCGGGAGUCGGUACAUUGGCGCGGCUUGCACACUGUCGGUGCUCCGCUGUUCAACUCUGGCGCAAGGUGUUACGUCCGAUACCAUUGGUCACGUCUCGAAACACGGGCCAAGGAGUAUAGCGUGUGUGCAAGUCUAAGGGUUCCACAAAACCUGGAGGCGUAGUGAAAGCGAGUUAUGGUGUCUCACUGGACUGAUGGAGAAGGCAGUGAUGCGUGAUCCCGCAAGUCCCGGACUCGUCGUCUGCACUGCUUCGGUUGUGUUAGCGCGAGCACCGCAGAGCACAUACGCUAUGACCCGAAAGAUAGUGAACUAUGCUUGGCGAGGGUGAAGCCCCAGG
rnacentral:rRNA from 1 species